GGAGUCUAGCAUGUGCGCGAGUCAUUGGGACACGACUAAACCCAAAGGCGCAAUGAAAGUGAAGGUCCGUCUUGCACGGACCGAGGGAGGAUGGGCGACGGCCAACACCGUCGCUCCGCACUCCCGGGGCGUCUCGUUCUCAUCGCGAGAAGAGGCGCACCAAGAGCGUACACGCUGGGACCCGAAAGAUGGUGAACUAUGCCUGGUCAGGACGAAGUCAGGGGAAACCCUGAUGGAGGUCCGUAGCGAUUCUGACGUGCAAAUCGAUCGUCGGAACUGGGUAUAGGGGCGAAAGACUAAUCGAACCAUCUAGUAGCUGGUUCCCUCCGAAGUUUCCCUCAGGAUAGCUGGCGCUCGUUGCGCACGAGUUUCAUCCGGUAAAGCGAAUGAUUAGAGGCAUUGGGGUCGAAACGGCCUCAACCUAUUCUCAAACUUUAAAUGGGUGAGAUCUCCGGCUUGCUCGAACUCUUGAAGCCGCGAGACUCGAAUCAGAGUGCCAAGUGGGCCAUUUUUGGUAAGCAGAACUGGCGAUGUGGGAUGAACCAAACGCCGAGUUAAAGCGCCCAAAUCGACGCUUAUGGGAUACCAUGAAAGGCGUUGGUAACUUAAGACAUCAGGACGGUGGCCAUGGAAGUC
rnacentral:rRNA from 1 species